rnacentral:lncRNA from 1 species
GGUCCAAUUUUGAGUCUGAGACUUCCUAAUAUAACUAACCCGACCAACUCCAAAACAAGUUCUAGUAACAUCAGCUACUAGGAUUGACUGGUGAACUAAAUUAACGUAAGAAAAAUGUCACAAAUAUAUUCCCACCCUCCAACCAUCGAAUCCACGUCAUAAUUUCCAGAUGGAUGGGAAUAUGGUGAGUGAAAAGGCAAAGGGGAAAAGUAGAGG